rnacentral:lncRNA from 1 species
ACAUAGAUCAGACUCUCCAGCCGCCAUGCCUACACCUCCCAAUUAGGACCUCAGGCCUGUGCUAGCCACGCCCCAAACCCUAAAUCUCUCCAGCCGCAGACAACCCUGGGAAAUGUAGUCUGCGGACAAGAGCCAGCCGGCCCACAGCCAGAGCCAUGCAAGCGCAGUUCUCUUCGGACAGAGCCACUGUCUCAAGACUCUGCCCUUCUUCAAGAGAAGAGCCCAGAAGAAGAGAGAAUGACUGCUAGGCCCUUUAUGGCUGGAUUCAGGCCAUGUAAGGCAUGCCUGCUUCCCCUUCACCUUCCACCAUGAUUGUAAGUUUCCUGAGGCCUCCCCAGGUGUGCUUCCUGUACAGCCUGUGGAAUGUUACCAAAGACGUUGGAAGAGGUGGCUAUGGACAUCACCUGGGAGAAGUGGAAGCAAAUGGACACUGUUCAGAAGUCCAUAUACAGAAACAUGUUGGAAAAAUAUAGAAACCUGGUUUUGCUAGAUGGGAAGCUUGAACGUGGGGCCAAGACAUCAAGAGUAGAGCAGCAGGACAUUUCAAAAGAAGAUUAAUCUCAAAGAUUAGAGAUGGAAGAACUUGCAAAGAGAAAGUCUGUACCGGAAGAAAUCUGGAAAUCUAGAGGCCAGUUUAAGAAUCAGCAGCUAAACAAGGAGAAUAAUCUAGGGCAAGAGAUAGCUACCUGCACAAAAAUUCCUACCAGAAAAAGAGACAUAGAAUCUAAUGAAUUUGUGAAAAAUUUUACUGUAAGAUCAAUACUUGUUGCAGAACAGAUAGAUCCUAUGGAAGAGAAUUGUCAUAAAUAUGGUACAUGUUGAAAGAUGCUCAAACAAAACUCAGAUUUAAUUAUACAAAGAAAGUAUGAUGGAAAAAAAAAAACCUUGUAAAUAUAGUGAAUGUGGGAGAACCUUCAGAGGCCACAUCACUCUUGUUCAGCAUCAAAUAACUCAUUGUGGAGAGAGACCCUGUAAAUGUACUGAGUGUAGAAAGGGAUUUAAUCAGAGUUCCCACUUAAGAAAUAAUCAGAAAACUCUUUCAGGAGAAAAGCCCUACAAAUGCAGUGAGUGUGGGAAGGCCUUCAGUUAUUGCUUAGUUCUUAAUCAACACCAGAGAAUUCACAGUGGAGAGAAACCUUAUGAGGGUACUGAAUGUGGCAAGACAUUCAGUCGUAGUACAUACCUUACUCAGCAUCAAAGAAUUCACACUGGUGAGAAGCCCUAUACAUGUCUUGAAUGUGGAAAGGCUUUUAGUCAGAACACACAUCUUACUCUACAUCAGAGAAUCCAUACUGGAGAGAAACCUUAUGAAUGCAAUGAAUGUGGUAGGUCCUUUAGUCAGAGUGCACAUCUUACUCAACAUCAAAGAAUGUAUACAGGAGAAAAACUCUAUGAAUGUAAUGAAUGUGAGAAAGCCUUCCAUGAUCACUCAGCUCUUAUUCAACAUCAUAUUGUCCAUACUGCAGAGAAACCCUAUGAAUAUCAUGACUGGGAAAACUUUCAGUUACUGUUCAGACCUCAUUCAACAUCAGAGAAUGCACACUGGAGAGAAACCAUACAAAUGCAAUGAAUGUGGGAAUGCCUUUAGUGAUUGUUCAUCCCUUAUUCAGCAUCAAAGAACUCACACCGGAGAAGAGCCUUAUGAAUGUAAGCAAUGUGGAAAAGCCUUUAGCAGAAGCACAUACCUUACUCAACAUCAGAGAAGUCACGCAGGAGAGAAACAGUAUAAAUGCAAUGAAUGUGAGAAAACUUUCAGCCUGAGUUCAUUCCUUACACAGCAUAUGAGGGUUCAGACUGGAGAAAAACCCUACAAAUAUAAUGAAUAUGGAAAAGCUUUUAGUGACUGCUCAGGACAUUUUCAGAGAACUCACACUGGAGAGAAGCCCUGUGAAUGUAAUGACUGUGGGAAACCUUUCAGUUUCUGUUCAGCCCUAAUUCAACAUAAGAGAAUUCAUACCAGAAAGAAGCCCUGACUGUACCUUCAUACCAGUAAAUGCACUGACUGUGGAAAAGCCUUCAGUGAUUGGUUAGCACUUGUUCAACAUCAGAUAACUCAACACUGGAGAAAAACCGUAUAAAUGUACUGAAUGUGGAAAAGCCUUCAGUUGGAGUACAGACCUCAAAAAUCACCAGAAAACUCAUACUAGUGAAAAAUCCUAUAAAUGUAAUGAAUGUAGAAAGGCCUUUAGUUACUGCUCUGGUCUUAUUCAAUGUCAGGUCAUUCAUACUAUAGAAAAACCUUAUGAAUACGGUAAAUGUGGCAAAGCCUUUAGGCAGAGGACAGACCUUAAAAAACAUCAGAAAAUGCAUACCGAAGAGAAACCCUAUGAAUGUAAUGAAUGUGGGAAAGCCUUUAGCCAGAGCACAUAUCUUACAAAACACCAAAAAAUUCAUAGUGAAGAGAAAUCAAAUAUACAUACUGAGUGUGGGGAAACCAUUAGACAAAACUCUUCUUUUUUACAACAAUAAAAACCUCACACUGGAGAGAUUCUCUGAAUGCCUUAAGAAUUUGGUUAAUAUGGAGACCCUUCCCAGGGAAACAGAAGGAGGAUCGUGAAAACUGUUGACUACUUAGAAUGAUCACAUGGUUUAGUGGAGAGAGCAUGAUUCUGGGUUUUAAAAGUCAUGGAUCUCAAUCUCAGCUCCUAUUACUAACUAGAUCUUUUACUUUGGGGUAAGUCACUUCAUAUCUUUAGGCCUUAAUUUCCUCAUCUGAAAAACUGGAAGGCCUGACUUGUUGAGCUUUAAGAUCCUCAAUUAUUAUAUUUACUAGGAAUUCAAGUUUCUAUAGAUGUGGUUCAGAAUUGUGACUUAUUUAUUGUACAUCAGGUGUGAUUCACAAGUGAGCUUGUAGUAGUUAUUAAGGAGUCAAUAAAGAUAUGAUAUAGA